rnacentral:rRNA from 1 species
AAAAAAUAUAGUUUUUAUAAAAACAUAAUUGAAGUAUAAAUUUUAAAGUAGUGUAAACGAAAUUUGAUUGUAACUAUAGAAUAUUAGUACUGUAAAGGAAUUAUUGAAAUAUUUGAAAAAGUUUUAAUAAAAAAGUACUUAUAAAUUAAGGUACCUUUUGUAUUAGUGGUUAUUAAAUUGUUAUUAUAAAAUUUUUUCUCGAAAAUAAAAGAUCUAAGUAAGUUUUAAAGUUUUUGUUUCAAAAAAAUUUUAUAAGUUUAUUUAGGUAUGAAAUUUUAAUCGUUUUUAUUAAUAUCUAGUAACUUUAGAAAUAAAUUUAGUUUAGAAUAAUUAGAAAUAACUUUAUUUAUAAGUAUUUUUUAAUUUAUUUUUAAAUUUUAGGGGAUGAGCUCUAAAAUUUUUAAUAUAAGAUAUAAUUUUUUAUGAAUUUUUUAUAGGCCUAGAAUUAGCCAUAAGAUAGUGUUAUAAAAUAAAAUUUUAGUUUUAAGAUUUUAUAUUCUUUUUUAUUUAUAAAGUUAAUCUUAAAAUUUAUUUUAAGAUGUAAAUAUGAUAAUAUUAGUAGAUAUAAAAAUAUAGAAUUAUAAUUUAAAUUUUUCUUGAAUUUAUUAUAAAAGAAUUUUGAUAAAAGAACUCGGCAAAUUAUAUCUCCGAAUGUUUAACAAAAACAUUUCCUCUUAGUUUUGGAGGUAAGGCCUGCUCACUGAAUUUUUAAAGAGCCGCAGUAUCCUAACUGUGCUAAGGUAGCAUAAUCAUUAGUCUUUUAAUUGGAGACUGGUAUGAAUGGUUUAACGAGAGAUAAACUUUUUUUAUCAUAUAAAUUGAACUUAAUUUUUUAGUGAAAAAGCUAAAAUUUUUCAGAAAGACGAGAAGACCCUAUAGAGUUUUAUAUUUAAAAACAAUUUAUUUUAUUAGAUUUUUUUAACUAAAUUGUUGGAAGUAUUUUGUUGGGGAGACAUUAAGAUAAAAGAAACUCUUGAUUUUUUAAAUUUUUAUAAAAAAUUUUAUUGACCCUCUAUAAGAGAUCAAAAGAAAAAAUUACCUUAGGGAUAACAGCGUAAUCUUUUUUGAGAGUUCUAAUCGACAAAAAGGUUUGCGACCUCGAUGUUGGACUAAAAUUUAAACAGGGUGCAGCAGUUCUGUUUUUAGGUCUGUUCGACCUAUAAUAUUUUACACGAUCUGAGUUCAGACCGGCGUGAGCCAGGUUGGUUUCUAUCUUCUGAUUAUGAUUUCUUCAACUUAGUACGAAAGGAUUGGUUGAGGGUAAUAUUUAUAAAAAUUGAGGAUUAAUAAGUUUUUCUAU